rnacentral:rRNA from 1 species
UACAGAGGGUGCGAGCGUUGUCCGGAAUCACUGGGCGUAAAGGGCGCGUAGGUGGUGGCUUAAGCGUGCGGUGAAAGCUCGGAGCUCAACUCCGAGUCGGCCGUGCGAACUGGGCUCACUGGAGCAUAGUAGAGGCAGGUGGAAUUCCGGGUGUAGCGGUGGAAUGCGUAGAGAUCCGGAAGAACACCGGUGGCGAAGGCGGUGGUCUGGGCCGGCACUGACGCUGAGGAGCGAAAGCGUGGGGAGCGAACAGG